GCCAGUGUGGCAUAGUGGUUGGAGAGUUGGACUGGUACUCGGGAGAUCAGGGUUCAAAUCCCCACUGAGCC